rnacentral:rRNA from 1 species
AGGGUUCGAUUAUGGCUCAGAACGUACGCUGGCGGCACGCCUAAUACAUGCAAGUCGAACGAAGUAGCAAUACUUAGUGGCAGACGGGUGAGUAACAUGUAGGUAUCUACCCUAUGGUGAAGAAUAACAUGAGGAAACUUAUGCUAAUACUUCAUAAGUCUUUACGGAGAAAGCUUUAUGCGCCAUUGGAUGAGCCUGCACUUGAUUAGUUUGUUGGUGGGGUAAAGGCCUACCAAGACUGUGAUCAAUAGCUGAUUUGAGAGGAUGAUCAGCCACAUUGGGACUGAGACACGGCCCAAACUCCUACGGGAGGCAGCAGUAGGGAAUCUUGCACAAUGGGGGAAACCCUGAUGCAGCGAUGCCGCGUGAGUGAAGAAGGCCCUUGGGUUGUAAAGCUCUUUCGUCGGGGAAGAAAAUGACUGUACCCGAAUAAGAAGGUCCGGCUAACUUCGUGCCAGCCGCCGCGGUAAUAC